GUGGGGAAUAUUGGACAAUGGGCGAAAGCCUGAUCCAGCCAUGCCGCGUGUGUGAAGAAGGUCUUCGGAUUGUAAAGCACUUUAAGUUGGGAGGAAGGGCAGUAAGUUAAUACCUUGCUGUUUUGACGUUACCGACAGAAUAAGCACCGGCUAACUUCGUGCCAGCAGCCGCGGUAAUACGAAGGGUGCAAGCGUUAAUCGGAAUUACUGGGCGUAAAGCGCGCGUAGGUGGUUUUGUAAGUUGGAGGUGAAAUCCCCGGGCUCAACCUGGGAACUGCCUCCAAAACUACUGAGCUAGAGUACGGUAGAGGGUAGUGGAAUUUCCUGUGUAGCGGUGAAAUGCGUCGAUAUAGGAAGGAACACCAGUGGCGAAGGCGACUACCUGGACUGAUACUGACACUGAGGUGCGAAAGCGUGGGGAGCAAACAGGAUUAGAUACCCUAGUAGUCC
rnacentral:rRNA from 1 species